AAGAAAGGAAAGAGAAAGUCCAACCACUACGGCAAUACUUUUAAGCUCUACUAAAUGACGGUAUCCUUUCUGGCUUCGAAACUUUUGUACCUAAAAAUCGAGAGAGGCGCUGCAUUUUUUCAGUUGAAACUGUCAAAACUUGGAGAAGGGGAACCUCGGAGGCAGGCAGGAGAGGAGAAUCCUGAAAACUCGGUGGAGGUUGGGAAGAUGCUGUGCCUCGAGGAUUAGUUUAAACAGGGGGCUAUAAAAGAUGUAACAGAUGCAAACUGUAACACAAGGGCCAUUAACCCUUUCUCUGCCGGGCACACUCAGUCCCCACGCCCCGCACCUAUUGUCUCCUGUGCUAGAAGCUUUGCAGAAAACCUGGAAAGGGAAAUCCUGAAAUAAAGAAAUGGUCACACAAGUGUCUGGGAUGAAACAGCUGGCCUGUCUAUAUUCAUCCUGAGACACACGACUGCAUAUAAAUACAUGUUUAAUAAAUUUUGGCCAGAAAUGGUGAGAAGAAAAAGCAUGAAGAAGCCGCGAAGUGUGGGGGAGAAAAAGGUGGAAGCGAAGAAACAGCUCCCGGAGCAAACUGUACAAAAACCUCGCCAAGAGUGUCGGGAGGCAGGACCGUUAUUCCUGCAGAGCAGGAGAGAGACGAGAGACCCUGAAACACGCGCCACCUAUCUUUGUGGGGAGGGAUAAUUGAAGCGCCCUGAGCGUGAGCAUCAUGUGAAAACGUGAUCGCCAAGUUUCUCUCUGGGAAAGGAUCUGGGAUAGAUUAUACCUUGAAGUCUCCGCAAACGCUUUAGUGGAAGA
rnacentral:antisense_RNA from 1 species